rnacentral:tRNA from 1 species
GGCUGAGUUGGUAGAGCAUGGUGUUUGCAACGCCAGGGUUGUGGGUUCGAUUCCCAC